AUUGAACGCUGGCGGCAGGCCUAACACAUGCAAGUCGAGCGGAUGGAGGGAGCUUGCUCCUGGAUUCAGCGGCGGACGGGUGAGUAAUGCCUAGGAAUCUGCCUGGUAGUGGGGGAUAACGUCCGGAAACGGGCGCUAAUACCGCAUACGUCCUGAGGGAGAAAGUGGGGGAUCUUCGGACCUCACGCUAUCAGAUGAGCCUAGGUCGGAUUAGCUAGUUGGUGGGGUAAAGGCCUACCAAGGCGACGAUCCGUAACUGGUCUGAGAGGAUGAUCAGUCACACUGGAACUGAGACACGGUCCAGACUCCUACGGGAGGCAGCAGUGGGGAAUAUUGGACAAUGGGCGAAAGCCUGAUCCAGCCAAGCCGCGUGUGUGAAGAAGGUCUUCGGAUUGUAAAGCACUUUAAGUUGGGAGGAAGGGCAGUAAGUUAAUACCUUGCUGUUUUGACGUUACCAACAGAAUAAGCACCGGCUAACUUCGUG
rnacentral:rRNA from 1 species